rnacentral:piRNA from 1 species
AAGGCUGAGAAGGAUGAGACGGUGAGUGU